ensembl:lincRNA Gm16145 predicted gene 16145
GUGGAAGAGACCCUCCUCCUGGUUGCCUGCAGAAGAGAGAGUCUCCUAGCUGCCUUCAGACCAAGAUGUAGAACCCUCAGUUCCUUCUCCAGCACCAUGUCUGUCUGAACACAGCAUGCUUCCUGCCAUGAUGACAAUGGACGGACCCUCUGAAUCUGCUCCAUCCAGUGAAAAAGAGAGCCUCCACCUGGCUGUCUAUGAAAAUGAGUCUUCUGACUGCCUUAGGAUCAAGAUGACUCUGGGCUCCUCCAGCACCAUUUCUGUCUGGGUGCUGCCAUGCUUCCCACCAUGAUGAUAACGGACUGAACUUCUGAAACUACCAAAGAGAGCUAGAUGUGGGAGACACGUCUUCACAGAGCCAAUCAUAAGGAGACCCAGGGCGCUACGGAGGGGCCGCGCACAGCACACCUCCCUUCACCACGCACCCCGAAACCUGGGGUGUAGAGUCUUGCUGCGGGAGAUGAAGAACUGUUUGAUUCAUGAGCAGCCACUGUAAAGACAGAAGGAUAGACUCUCUGGAUAUGACGUGGCAUGUAGUGAUUUCCAACUUCAGCUCUUCAUUAAAAUCUGAAGCCCUGUUUCA